rnacentral:lncRNA from 1 species
AAAAUGAAUUCAAGUGUCUAGUCAUUUAAUUUAUCCAAAACUGAAAGGUGUGAAACAGUAAAUUCUGAAGUUAAAGCUCCCCCUUUCAUUUGAAAUUAUAUAAGCCUUCAUGUCAUGCAAUCAAUUAUUUGGCUUAUGUAUAUUUAAUGAAUUUACUUUCUUAAGAUUUCAGAUUCUCCCCCUCAACACAUGCAUUCAACUUUGUUUAGAUUCUCUGAAUUUUCUUUUCGUGUAUUGAAGCUUUUGAACUUAAAUUUUUGGUUUUAGAGGAAAAAUCUGUCAAUUUGUUCUUAAGUAUGAUUCAACUAAUCUCCGAAUAUUCCUUGAAUAGAUUCUGGAGAUUACUCCUUUAGG